UUGGCUAGGUAUGUACAUCAAGACCAGAGCCAAUCAGAAGCAGAGUACGGCGGGUCUUCACGGAAGGCGGGUGGGAAAAAAUAACGCCUAAUUGACAAACAGUUUUUAGAUUGGUAACUUACGGCUGUCUCUUCAUCGUCUUUAAAUUAUUUUCUAUAGUUUCCUCCGCCGUUAAAUUAUCGAUACCAGAUAAUGGCGCGAGGAAAACGAAAAAUAUUGAUAGUUAAAUGUUUGUCUUUAGGGGAGUCGAACCGUUUCCCUUGGUUUGAAUCUGACCGUUGGCUCAGGAUAACAUUAAAUUAACGUUUACUCCUAUCGAUAAUGUUACGAUUUCCAUAACAUUUGUCUUUUAAUAUUAUUAGCAUCUAUCAAAAACUGGUCGGUUUAAUGUUUACUCGCUACUGGAUAACAAAUAUGUGUCUUAACUGUUGUAAGUUAUGAAUUUCACAUCAUGAGGCCAAAGAGAAACAAGAGAAGCUCAAACUACAGUAUCCCCAAGAAAAAGAUAGAGGUGCAACAAAACCAACAAGAGAGGGAAGGAGAUGUCAGCCAAGCACAGUCUGAACAUACCUGCACAGUCCUCUGAAGAUCCCUAAACAGGGAGGAAUAGCUUGUCAGUUAAACUCAUGGAGGCCCGGUGAAGAGCAGGACACAGAAGAGAGGAGCUUGGACAGCCACUGAGAGGGAGACAGAGAGGGGGACAGAGCAGGAGACAGACAGAGCGAAAGAGGGAGAGAGAGGGGGGGAGCACUGGACCUGUAUCAGGCUCACAAUGAAAAGUCCGGUUAAGCUUUGCGUUUUGUGAUUUGGGUGCAUGCCUUGGACAGUGACAGUCUGCAAGGUUUUGCAGCGAGCAUGACUCAGAAUGGGAUCCAUGAGUGCAGUGAAGAGACUCUGAGUCAGACGAGACAAAUUCACCAGAGCCCCCGACUGCCCUCUCCGUCCAAGUGUCUGCUUGGAAACAAACAAGAUUAAUGUGUUGUUGUCUGGCCUUGAGUGAGGUAUGAACUUAAGGGAGGCAUGAGAGGAAUACAAAAAAUAAAUAAAAAUCCCAAAUAAAUACAGAAGUGCAGUGGAGCUCUGAGGUAAUGUGGGACUCCUGUGUGCUGUAACAGAGAGAGAAUGUUUUUUGUGUAUUAUAUAGACAGUACACUGUUAUUCAGUUAUUUCUCUUUCAUGGCAUCUUUGUUUAUAUUUGCACUUUAGGUAAUGGGUCUCUUACAAGAAAAGUUGGCUAUGUGGGUGGCUGUGGCUCAGAGGUAGAGGGGGACAUCCAUUAAUCGGAAGAUUGGCGGUUGAAUCCACGGCCUCUCCAGUCCACAUGUUGAAGUGUCCUUGAGCAAGAUAC